rnacentral:rRNA from 1 species
GACGAACGCUGGCGGCGUGCUUAACACAUGCAAGUCGAACGGAAAGGCCCUGCUUUGGGGCGCUGCUCGGGUUGCGAACGGGUGAGUAACACGUGAGUAACCUGCCCUUGACUGUGGGAGAACUUCAGGAAGCUUGAGCUAAUACCGCAUAGGAGCUCUUGCUGCAGGGUGGGGGCGGGAAGGUUUCGGCGGUUGGGGGUGGAAUCGCGGCUUAUCAGCUUGAUGGUGGGGUAGUGGCUUACCAAGGCUUGGCCGGGUAGCAGGCCUGGGCGGGUGACCGGCCACAUUGGGCCUGGGCUACGGCCCAGACUCCUACGGGAGGCAGCAGUGGGGAGUAUUGCACAAUGCGCGGAAGCCUGAUGCAGCCACGCCGCGUGCGGGAUGACGUCAUUCGGGUAGUAAUCCGCUUUCGCCUGUGACGAAGCGUGAGUGACGGUAAUGGGUAAAGAAGCACCGGCUAACUACGUG